rnacentral:lncRNA from 1 species
GAAUUUCUGAAACAAAGUGUAAUGCAAAAGUGUACUAGUAUAAAAAUUGAUAACAUACACUUGCCAUACAUUUUGGUUUUAAAGAAUACGAUUGAUAAAAGUUUGUUUUUACAUAUAUUUUAAAGUUGGCAUGCCUUUUGAUAUUUUAUUGUCAACGGGAGCACUCUGUUUUGAUACAUUUGUAUUCGUAAGCUAAAAUUUGAACAGGGGC